GAAGGCGGGGAGCAGUUGGCUUGGUUAGUCUGCUGAUUAGCAACAAACAGAAGGUUACGAGUUAGAAAAAUUGGAUUAUUUGCCCACCAGAGCGCCUUCGUGGCUACAGAAGCGGGGUUAACUAUGUCGGGGGCCUAACCGGAGCUUAUUAGUUGGCUUUUGAGGGCGAAAGGCGGAUAUUUGUGAAAUUUCUGAGCCUUUCGCGGCGAGAGAGAGAGAGAGGGUCCACCUCGCUUUUAGGUCGUUUCAAGUGGCGAUGCUUUAGCUGAUAGCUGCGUCAUCAUGUUGCUUCCGAGUCGAGUUGGCGAGAAGAAAUCACAAGUUAUCGCCGGGAGGUGAGGCUGCCCGCCGACAUCCAGCCCCGGAGGCCACUCCCGACCCUUGAAGUACGUGGAAGACGGGCUGUCGGUGGGAGACUGGCGGCGAAGCCUGCUUAGUUUACGUCGUUGUGGGGACUUUACAUCGCUUGCCUCGGUGUAGUUGGCGCGAUUCCCCCAACUUAACUGUAUUUAUUUAACCCACUGUAGGAUAUGAAUUCGCACGUUUUAAAUUAAUGUUAUUUACAGAAAAAGAGCCUAGAAAGAAAGAAAGUGGAAGUGUAACUACUGAUGGGAAGGUAUGCUUGCCACAACUGUUUGGAUAGUGGGAAGUGAUGCUCUCAUUGACAGCUUGAACACAAGCAGGACCAUCCAGAGAGAAGUCCUCGUUAUCUGAGCUAAAACAGGCGUUUCUAAGAGACAAUGGGAGACGGUUCUGUUAACUCCCACUGAUUGACUCUCGUUUUUAUUAGAUCAAGGCUGAUUGAUCGGUUUGCUGCGUCAGGGGGUCUCUAUCAUCACAUCCACGUGGACUUUGUCUCAGGUCAUUUGGGAAAGUUUUGAUCCCCUUUCCCCUGCCGUCCUCAAUCUGGGUGGGAUAACCACACUUUAUAUAGAUUUGUUUAUUUAAAACUGAAGAAAACUUGUUAGAAAAAAUAAAAUAAAAUAAAAAUGGACGGCGACUGCACUGUUUAUGCGUCCAAGCACGGGAUCGAGUCUGCGGGGCGCAGAUCCUCUAACUUUGAGGUGAUGGACGGGCUGCUGUACCGCAGGAAGUUUGAAAGGGGCUUCAUCAACUACCGGGAGGUUCUGGGUGAGGACCGGAGGCAAGAGGCCAUCUCCACCUUCCACAGGCGGCGACCCGGCCAGCGCCACCUCUCCCUGGAGGAGACCUAUAAAUGCGUGGCUGAGAACUACUGGUGGGAGGGAAUGUACUUCCAGAUCAGAGACUUUGUCCUGCACUGUCCACAAUGUAAGAAUCUGCACAGUAAAACAUCAGCGGGGUUCGGUGGUAGGAGGUGUGUAUCUAAGACGGUACCGUCACACGGCGCCGACUUACUGAGCAAGCUGAGGAGUCAGAGGGAGGCGGGGCAGUUCUGUGACAUCAUCCUUCGAACCAACGGGGGAUCCUUCGCAGCUCACCGAGCCGUCCUGGCCGCCGUCAGCGAUCACUUCCAUGAAGUUUUGGCUGAAAUGGACUCGAGCAAGAAAGCAGACAUCGAUCUCUCUGGUUUCAGUGAGGACAGUCUUUUGUCUCUGCUGGACUUCUCCUACUCGUCCACCCUGUGUGUUCGUCAGGAGGAUCUCCCAGAAGUCUGUGCGAUGGCGCGUCACCUGGGCAUGUGGCCGGCCGUGGAAGCCUGCUCUGCCCUCCUCAAAGAGCAGGAGCACCAUCUCAAUGCCCCUAGCAAGGCCUUCAGCUCAGCUCAUGCCGGUCCGUUCAGCCAGCACCGUCACCACCAAAGGGAAGGACUCUUGAAACUAGAGAACAUGAACGAAAGCUUUAGCCUAACACUAGAGACGUCCGAUGAGUCUUUACAAGAAAGUCCUAAGCGUAACUUGCGCCGAAUGCCAAAAUCCCAAGUUCAGAACGGCCUCCCUCUGAGUCCCUCGCACAGGAUGAAGCUCAUGGACUUCAAGUCUCCCUCUUCCAAAAAAGCCAGCACACCUCGCCACGUCAUCGUCGCCACUAGGUCACAGAACUAUUCGCCCCUCUCAGCGUCAAGCACCCGUCUUCUCCGCUCCUCUCCCGGAGCCGCCAAAGAGGUUCAGAGGUUCCUAUCUAAGCCAGAGACACCUAAGAAGAACAGAAAGUCCCACUCUGUCGCCCAACUGUCAUGCACGUCCAGGUCGCGGCCGGGAACGUCCUGCAGCCCGGUCAGGGUGAAGCAGGAAGUGGAGGAGGUCGGGGAGGACGAGGAGGAUUACGCAAGAGCGCAGGAGAAGUACAAGCUCAUGAAUGUCCUGGGACUCCAGAGGACAGCUCUCCUUCCCAGACCAGAAGAUCUAAUCGGCUGGAAGCAGAAGAAACGGCUUCGGAAGUUAAAAGCCAACAACUACUCUCUGACCAAGCGACGGAAACCACGUUCUUCAUCCCCCGGAACCUCAUACGAAGAUAUGAAGCUGACACUUCCUCUCUGUAACCCCGUCAACACUCAACUCCUCAAAAAGUCGGUCAAGUCCAAGGGUUUGGGAUCCUCCAGAGCCGAGCAGAUCCCAACGAAGAGGCAGAAGAGCAUCAAGCAGCGCAUUCCUCCCUCCGACAGGAGCAUGAGAAGUAAAGUGGUUUUACCGGACCUGUUUCCACGUUCCUCCACUCCGGUGUACGGUGGUAGGGAACUCAGGCGGUCUGUGAGGAAACGCGACAGCACCCAGCAGCCUGUGCGUUACACCAGCAAGAAAAGCUUUGUUAGAAACGUGGUUAAAAUCAAAGCAGAAACGACUGAAUACUCCAUCUCAAGUCUGAGGCUGUCCACACAUGGACAGAGCGGACACGCAUCUCCAAACUCCCUGCCUUCACAGAGAACACAGAGCAGAAAAAAGGUCGCCGGAGAUGCGGUGAAAACGCUCCGGUACAACAGCAGCCGACCGGGAGCGAAGGCCAAGCUGAGACGGGCGUCCACAAAGGAGGAGGACAAGACGAGGGGCCAGUCCAGAGAGGCAGGAAGACCAGUGGUAAAGGAUCCUGAACCCAAUGGUCUUUCAGAGCAUACGCCUCCACCCUCGAUUUAUAGUCACCCUCUUUACAAAACAAUCAAAGAAGAACCAGCCGAUCCAGUGCCAGUCGGACCUUUCCCUGACCCCCCCUCACCUGACCUGGGCAAACGUCAGAGCAAGCCGCCCAUCAAACUGCUGGACUCUGGUUUCCUGUUCAGCUUCUGUCGGCCGGCGGGGGGUUCCAUGACCGGCCUGAAGAAGGAGGAGGAGAGUGUGGCCAUCUGUCUGACGCGCUCCGUGUCUCAGGUUCCAGAAAAAUUCGACACAGACGGGUCUCCCCAGCGGACGCUGAGAGCCAGGGGUCCGCUGGGCCUCAGCGUGGUGAAAAGGGAGGAGAGAAGAGUCACACAAGGACAGAGUCAGAGACAUGGACUGAAGUCCAGAGAACCUAGAACGCAUCUGGACAAAUGUGCUGGGUCCAAAGCUACAAGGACGAUGCCAAAGAGACAAAAUAAGGCCCAUACCCUGAGCAGCAGCCGGAGCUGCACCAUGCUGGACGCCGUACAUCGGGCCCGCCUAAAGCAGCUCCGAGGGCCUCGCAGCCAAGCACCCAAAGUCCCAAAGGCCUCCCACGCCUGUCUGCAAUGUCCAGCUGCCUACAAGGACUGCGACGCCCUAAUUAUGCAUCAGCUGAGGCACAUUGAUGGAAAGCACUGGCCUUGUCCGCUCUGCAGCAAGACCUUCUUCAGACUGAGGAAUGUUCGGAAUCACAUCCGCACCCACGACCCAAAGUUGUACAAAUGCCGGAGCUGCAUUGCAGCCGGUUCGUGAGGCAGCCGGAGACGCCCGCUUCUAGCACAGGCACAUGGAGGUCGGUGAAGCGAAUACUCUCAAAGACUGAGCUGAUGAAAGCCAUCAGUGUCUCACCAGCAGCCAUCGGGCUGAAGCCAGAGGCACAUGAUGGAUCCCAAGCUUGUACAUACUGAAUCCAGUCACACUUGAGCACAACGGUCUGCAGAAAGGCGUCACUGCUGUUAUCAACGAUUGCUAAAAUUAUUUAAAAUAAUCAAACCAAGGUUGCCGUUCCUGUUUGCUUCUUUGGUAGCUACAGAAACUUGAACAUUUACUCUCAGGGGGGUGGGGAAUGUGAUGCCACGUUGUACAGCGAUUUCUCGUCACAGUUGUAUAAAAAGAAAAAAAAAAAAAGAAAUGUAAAGUGAUUGAUAUAACUAUUACUGCUACUUAUUGUUACCUUUAUUUUUCUAUGUAUAGAUGAAUGUUGAGUGCACUUAUGUCAUAGCUUAUGUUGUAAACCUAAGAAUUGGUAAUGAAACUGAAGGUUUGGAGUCUGAGGUGGGAAUACUUGAAGUUGUGAAAGUGCUGGGGGGGUGGGGCAUACUUGAAGGUGGGGGUCCAGUUGAUCGUUUUCCUGUGGUGUGCUAAUGUUUCAAUGACUUGAUAUCUUUUGGCAUUGAUCUGGUGGGGAGUGCAGGGAGGGGUUGUACGAAGACACCACUGCAUGUGUAUCUUCAGGCCAUUUGUAGUCCUCUGCCUUUUCUAAGGCUGCUGGGUCUAAAAAGGGAAAAGUGUCGGUUUUUAUAAAUGUGAAUUUCUUAACUUUAUUCAAGAUGGCCGCAUCACGACAGAUGUUUUAUUAAUCUCUUCUUUAAUGCAAGACCAGAUCAUCUUGCUCUACUUAAGUUUCCCUCUCUACUGAGUAAAUGCAAUGUGCACAUACAGAGAUGUUUAUGUAUCACAAAAUGAUUUUAGAAAUAAACGAGCUGUCUCCUGCUAUCUGUUUAAAGAUUAAAUAAAUUUUUGCCUUUAA